UUCUAUAUAUAGCAACUGUCAAGGAUGAACAGACCAAAGUUCCCCUUCCCAUGGUCGAGCUAUGUCUGCGUAGAAUGCGGCAUGCCAGUUUCGAGCCUAUACUCCCACGUCGGCUCUAAGCAGGACAUUCAGCUCACAAUAUGCGAACACUGUCACAACUUCGCCGAUAAAUACGUCGAGUUCGACAACGUCCUCAUCAUUCUGGAUCUCCUCUUACACAAAAUAAGUGUGUGUAGACACAUGGUCUUCAACCUGUCAGUAAGCCGCCAUCACCGGAUUCCAUAUGUCAAGGUGAUCCUGCUGUCUCUACUGCUCAUAGCAUAUACAAGGCUGUACUAUUUAGAUCUUGAUGACCCUCUGCAAUCCAACUCCAGAAACCUGUUUACCUUCUGGAUCGUGCUGCUAGAAUACAUCGUAUCAACUGUGAUUUUGACGCUUUUCUGCAUGCUGUACUUCAGAACAUACAAGUUCCGAGAGGUCUUCGCGGAAGUCACUGUCGUUUUGUCGGUGACGCCAUUUCCGAGUCUGGUCCUGUUGUUCGCGAUCAUCUGGAAGUACCAGCUUCACUUUUUGCUAUGCACACAGCUUUUUACUUUGAGCUCGCAAUACUUAGUGCUAAAAACCUACCUCAAAAGCAGUGCCAGCACCGCCUUUUUAGGCAUCCUCAUGUCCGCCCUCUCGGUUGUCUUUAUAGACAUCGCGCUUUCUAGGUCCGGCUAUCGAAUCGUGUCUCUUCUAGUGCCGGCUAGCUGGGAUUGAACCGCAUUUUCCAAUCGCUGCGCCACUGCAUAUGGCGCGUCGCCUUAACACAUACAAAACACCUCGGAAGGCUCAAUACUGUUUGAAUGUCUUUUGGGGCUUCCGCGCACUCUGCUAAUUGGAGAGAAUCCCUAGAGAAAGAUGCAUACGAUGUCGUGUUUUCUGGGCUCUGCGAAAAAAUGCUCUCAUUUAAAAACAAAUGGCUAGAGUUCAAGACCUGCAUCGUAACUCAAACAAGCCCCAAUUUUGUGAAUCCAAUAGCGGAAUGCGAAUCCAAAGUCCCGGACAAACAGGACGAGAAAUCUGAAGACGAGGAAAACCGCAGCCCCGCGAACACCCCUGAUAAGUGUCAAAGCUGUCGACCCGCUUCUAGGUCUUCGGUCGAUGCAGAUGUCAUUGACAUUCAUCCCGCUUUUGAUAACUAUGUCUCAUUCAUGAAGGUGGAGCUCUACGAACUGCAGUCCUUGCUACUAUCGGUGCAGUCGUACCUGAUGCUGUCAUUACCCCCGAAAAGAAGUACCGUCACCUUCAAAACUUCUGUUCAAUUGAAGAUUCUGUCCGAAAUCAAGGUGGCUAUAGUGGCCUGUCAAAACUUGUUCGAAGUACUGUACGAGUUGGCAGAAUCAAGAGCUGCGUUGAUCGAGAAGGGAAAGAAAAAGCCCUCGGUCACUGAAGAGAUGAGCCAAGCGUUGUACGAAUUUGACACCAAUGUAUCUGUCAAUUUGACAAGACGGUUCAACGAAAUGCAAUGUGUGCUGAUCGCAUUACAGGACAUGUUUAUUAAAAAUUCAGAGCAACUUUUCUCGAAGUUGGGCCUUGCUAAGCCUGGUUGGAUUGUGUAGUUCGAAAGUUGUCAGGUGCCAAAAGGACGAGCCGAAGCGAGUUUUAGAGCAACGAAGCGCUUGACACAUGCGGUUAAAAAAUGUCGGAGAUGGUGAAUGGAGCGAGAUAAAAAAGGGCACUUGAGAUGUGUGCUUUUGUGUCAUACACAUAUUUUUGUGUUAUCUAUUGUCCGUGAGUUCGAGACAGUCUUUAAUUGUCCACAGGCGGCGCUGAUGUCUUGUCCGCGAGACCAGCGUAUUGUCACUGGUAUGUUGUUUUCUUGGACGAUUCGCGCGAAUUCGAGGAUGACGGCUCGAUCAGAGGGCUCGUAAUGCGUCCCUGGCCACGGAUUGAAUGGGAUUAGGUUUACGAGGGCGACCUGGUCUUUUAACAGACGAGAAAGAGUGCGUGCUUCUUGGGCGGAGUCGUUGACAUUCUUAAGCAUCACGUAUUCGAAUGUAAUUCUUCUUGUGCUGGACAGUUUUGUGUAAGCUUUGCAGGCAUUUAGAAGUUCACUGAUGGGCCACUGGCGAUUGACGGGCACUAGUUGAGAGCGCAGUUCGUCCGUCACGGCGUGCAGAGAGAUGGCCAGACUUAUGCCGGGGAAGUCUCGGCCGAGUCGUAGGAUAUUUGGUACAACGCCCGAUGUGGAGACGACGAUGCGCCUUUUUGAGAUGGAUAGACCAGAGGGGUCUGUGAUGAUGGAAAUGGCUUUUUUGAGCUGGGAGUAGUUGUAGAAGGGCUCUCCCUGGCCCAUGAAGACGAUAUUCGUGACGAGUCGGAGCGGGCGUUGCGGAAAAUCGAAUAAGAGGCGCUUAGCAAGCAAAAGUUGUCCGACAAUUUCAGCUGAAGAAAGGUUCCGCAAAAGAGGUUGAGUGCCUGUGUGACAAAAGGCGCACUUCAUAGAACAGCCGAUCUGGGAAGACAGGCAGAUUGUGCCACGAUGAGUCUCUGGAAUAAAGACGGCUGAGAAAGUA